GAUCAUGGCUCAGGAUGAACGCUAGCUACAGGCUUAACACAUGCAAGUCGAGGGGAAACGACAUCGAAAGCUUGCUUUUGAUGGGCGUCGACCGGCGCACGGGUGAGUAACGCGUAUCCAACCUGCCUACCACUUGGGGGAUAACCUUGCGAAAGUAAGACUAAUACCCAAUGACGUCCCACGAAGACAUCUGAAUGGGAUUAAAGAUUUAUCGGUGAUGGAUGGGGAUGCGUCUGAUUAG
rnacentral:rRNA from 1 species